CAGGAACAGAGACCACCAGGGUCCAUGGAUGCACCCCAUGUCCCAUAGGUGUCAAGGGCAAUCCCACCAAUCAAAUUAUAGAGGAUCUAUGCGGUCAACAUCUACGGCUCCUAUUCCAUCUUCACUCCGGUGAGGCCGUCGUUCCAGCAGAGCUCCCAGUGACGUCACACGCCAACUCCACGAGGCCGACUACUGGAGUGCAUCAGAGAACUAGCAAACAGCUUUUGUCCCAGAUCGGAUACUAACGUGGACUGCCUAACAUCGGAUACCGGUGAGCGCAUAACUUCUACUCUUAAAGCGCUUCUAUAAUCUUGUGCAUACAGACGGGCAGCCUAAAUAACGGGUCCGGUGCAGUUCGGACCAGCUGCUAUUAUAACCGGCAAUAUCUCUAGUCAGCGCCUGCCAGCGCAGGCAAAUAUCGGCAGUUUAGUCCACAGACUUUCUAUUACAUCUUACUCUGCUGGAACUUUUAAUAUCUCUGCUUUCAGUGAAUA